UAGUAGUAGUAGCAGCAGCAGCAGCAGCAGGAGUAGUAGCAGCAGCAGCAGUAGCAGCAGCAGUAGCAGUAGUAGUAGUAGUUGAAGCAGUAGUAGUAGUUGAAGUAGUAGUAGUAGUAGUAGUAGUAGCAGUAGUAGCAGCAGUAGUAGUAGUAGUAGUAGUAGUAGUAGUAGUAGUAGUAGUAGUAGAAGUAGAAGUAGCAGUAGUAGUAGUAGUAGUAGCAGUAGUAGUAGUAGUAGUAGUAGUAGUAGGUAGUUGUUGUUGUUGUUGUGGCUGUUGUAAUAGUAGUAGUAGUUUUGCAGAAGUAGUAGUAGUAGUAGUAGUACUAGUAGUAGAAGUAAUAGUAGUAACUUUCAAAGCAAUGUCUACAAGUUUAAAUUCCUUAACCCUGUUCAAGGUGUAUACACACUUAAUAUUUAACUACAGUCCAGGUUUGCAAUUAACAAACUAUCUGAAAAGCCUGUGUGUGAGUCAGAUGUGUCUGCGGCUAAUCUAUUGGUUAUAAAAUAUCACAGCCUUUUCUGAUUGGCUGAGUUCAAAUACAGAAAGUUUACCUGUUAGAUUGAAUUUCUGGAGAAGGCGUAUUGAAGAAAAAAUGCAGCUUAAACUUGUUGUUAAAAUGAAGUUAAUGUAAUUUCACAAACAGUAGAGUUAAUGAGUUUUUCCAUUAACAAGAAUUUCUUAAAAUAAUAAUGUAUGGAUAUCAUUUGGAAAGUGACAUGAAAUGUUGUUAAAAAGUGAUGCAUACAAGUGUUUCAGAAGUCUGUCUAGGAAUAGAACAACAACUGAAGCUGACCAGUUGAUGGAAGAUACUGCAGAGUUUGGCAGGGAAAUAACCCAAGACAGCAAAGCGGCUCUUUUGGCGCAUUUACCAAGAGGACUAACAUGGCCACAAAUUCAUGAGAUCAUGCAGGAGCCCUACAGUAUAACAGCAGUACAAGUUCUAUAAAAGAUCCACGACCUACUGAAGCCCAGCUAAUUAACAAAAAAGUUUUUAAAAACUGUAAUUUUAUCCCACCUGGGUACUUAUAAUUUACUAAGCUGCCUACACAAGUUUUAGAUUUGCAAUUAUAUUUUAAAUUGUCACUUGGAAAGUAAUACAUGUACAUCUAUUAUGUUCUGAAUUUCUUUGAACAAUAAAAUUAUAUAAAAGUAUUUUAAUGAAAUUAAGCACCUAAAUUGCAUUAAAGUGAAAGUAGCUGAGAACAAGAUGUGUUUGUGAAACACAAUGUCCCCCUAUAUGACGUUUGACCUUGAAGGAUGACCUUGACCUUGACCCUUCACUACUCAAAAUGUGCAGCUCCAUGAGAUACACAUGCAUGUCAAAUAUAAAAUUGCUAGCUUCAAUAUUGCAGAAGUUGCAUUACAUGAGCAAUUUUGACCCAUAUAUUUGACUUGGAAGGAUGACCUUGACCUUGACCUUUCACCACUCAAAAUGUGCAGCUCCAUAAGUUACACAUGCAUGCCAAAUAUCAAGUUGCUAUCUUCAAUAUUGCAAAAGUUUUCAUAAAAUAAGCGAUUUGGGCCACAUAUAUUUGACCUCUGACCUUGAAGGAUGACCUUGACCUUUCACCACUCAAAAUGUGCAGCUCUAUAAGUUACACAUGCAUGCCAAAUAUCAAGUUGCUAUCUUUAAUAUUGCAAAAGUAUUCAUAAAAUAAGCGAUUUGGGCCACAUAUAUUUGACCUCUGACCUUGAAGUAUGACCUUGACCUUUCACCACUCAAAAUGUGCAGCUCCAUGAGAUACACAUGCAAGCCAAAUAUCAAGUUGCUAUCUUCAAUAUUGCAAAAGUAUUCAUAAAAUGAGCGAUUUUGGCCACAUAUAUUUGACCUCUGACCUUGAAGGAUGACCUUGACCUUUCACCACUCAAAAUGUGCAGCUCCAUGAGAUACACAUGCAUGCCAAAUAUCAAGUUGCUAUCUUCAAUAUAGCAAAAGUUAUUUCAAAAUGUUAAAGUUGGUGCAAACCAACCAACCAACCAACAGACCAACCAACCAACAGACUAACCAACAGACAGGGCAAAAACAAUAUGUCCCCCACUACUAUAGUGGGGGACAUAAAAAUAUUAUCCUUGUGCUCAUGUUCAGCUACAUAUAUUGUGACAUACAUGAAGCAGCUAAAAAUAACUUAAAUUUUUCAUUUUGUUUCUUGUAUAUCGUUUGUACAGGGUUCGUGAAUUGUUACUGUAUAUUACUUGACUUGCUUGUAUUUUGUUACUUUGAAUACAUGUUGUGAAGGUUGCAUUAUACUUUUUAACUUUUAAAGGAGCGCUUGUUCUGUUAUGUAAGGGCCUGAUUUAUGAUUAUGGACCUAGAGGCUUUGUAAGCAUGUAUUAAACAACACUUGUUUGAUCUGAAUAAUUUGUUAAAUAAAUGUAACACAAUUUGUAAUCUGAUGUUAUAUUUUGAUGAAUUGUGAACAAAAUAAUACAUCGAAGAAACUAA